rnacentral:misc_RNA from 1 species
GGAACCUCACGGCAACCCAAACACACAAUGAGUUACCCCAAAGUCUACGGCAAUAAUCCAACACCAAAGAUGCUCCAAGAACCUCACGGUAACCACUCUUGCACAAGCUACCCAACCUCAACAACUCUAGGUGUCCCCUCACGGCAAUAAGCCAACCAACAUACAAGUGUCCCACGGCAACAACCCCUACACCCAAGAGUCACACCGCAACACUUCAAACACCAAGAGUCACACGGCACACAAGUGAACAACCUAAGCUUUUACAAUGAGCUACAAUGGAAGUCCACGGCAACUUGCAAUGAUUCCAACCACCAAGAGGUUCACGGCAACAACAAUUCUCACAAC